AGGUUAACCGUAUAGGGGAGCCGUAGGGAAACCGAGUCUUAACUGGGCGAAUGAGUUGCAGGGUAUAGACCCGAAACCCGGUGAUCUAUCCAUGGGCAGGUUGAAGGUUGGGUAACACUAACUGGAGGACCGAACCGACUAAUGUUGAAAAAUUAGCGGAUGACUUGUGGAUGGGGGUGAAAGGCCAAUCAAACCGGGAGAUAGCUGGUUCUCCCCGAAAGCUAUUUAGGUAGCGCCUCGUGAACUCAUCUUCGGGGGUAGAGCACUGUUUCGACUAGGGGGUCAUCCCGACUUACCAACUCGAUGCAAACUGCGAAUACCGAAGAAUGUUAUCACGGGAGACACACGGCGGGUGCUAACGUCCGUCGUGAAGAGGGAAACAACCCAGACCGCCAGCUAAGGUCCCAAAGUCAUGGUUAAGUGGGAAACGAAGUGGGAAGGCUCAGACAGCCAGGAUGUUGGCUUAGAAGCAGCCAUCAUUUAAAGAAAGCGUAAUAGCUCACUGGUCGAGUCGGCCCGCGCGGAAGAUGUAACGGGGCUAAACCAUGCACCGAAGCUGCGGCAGCGAACGUAUCACUUAAAUUUGUUUGAGUGAAUAACGAUUGACGGAACGAAGUGACGUCAAUGCGUUAAUGAAAGUCGAGGCGAAAGCACGACAAAGCGAAUUUAAGGAUACGUUCGUUGGGUAGGGGAGCGUUCUGUAAGCCUGCGAAGGUGUACUGUGAGGUAUGCUGGAGGUAUCAGAAGUGCGAAUGCUGACAUAAGUAACGAUAAUGCGGGUGAAAAACCCGCACGCCGGAAGACCAAGGGUUCCUGUCCAACGUUAAUCGGGGCAGGGUGAGUCGACCCCUAAGGCGAGGCUGAAAAGCGUAGUCGAUGGGAAACGGGUUAAUAUUCCCGUACUGGUGGUAACUGCGAUGGGGGAACGGAGAAGGCUAGGUUGUCCGGGCGACGGUCGUCCCGGUUCAAGCAGGUAGGCAGAGUGAUUAGGCAAAUCCGGUCACUUAAUGCUGAGAUGUGAUGACGAACCACCAAGGUGGUGAAGCAAUUGAUGCCCCGCUUCCAGGAAAAGCCUCUAAGCUUCAGGUUACCAACAAUCGUACCCCAAACCGACACAGGUGGUCAGGUAGAGAAUACUCAGGCGCUUGAGAGAACUCGGGUGAAGGAACUAGGCAAAAUGGUGCCGUAACUUCGGGAGAAGGCACGCUGGCGGUAGGUAAAGUCCCUYGCGGACGGCGCYSAAGCCAGUCGAAGAUACCAGCUGGCUGCAACUGUUUAUUAAAAACACAGCACUGUGCAAACACGAAAGUGGACGUAUACGGUGUGACGCCUGCCCGGUGCUGGAAGGUUAAUUGAUGGGGUUAGCGUAAGCGAAGCUCCUGAUCGAAGCCCCAGUAAACGGCGGCCGUAACUAUAACGGUCCUAAGGUAGCGAAAUUCCUUGUCGGGUAAGUUCCGACCUGCACGAAUGGCGUAAUGAUGGCCAGGCUGUCUCCACCCGAGACUCAGUGAAAUUGAACUCGCUGUGAAGAUGCAGUGUACCCGCGGCAAGACGGAAAGACCCCGUGAACCUUUACUAUAGCUUGACACUGAACAUUGAGCCUUGAUGUGUAGGAUAGGUGGGAGGCUUUGAAGUGUGGACGCCAGUCUGCAUGGAGCCAACCUUGAAAUACCACCCUUUAACGUUUGAUGUUCUAACCUAGGCCCAUAAACUGGGUCGGGGACCGUGUCUGGUGGGUAGUUUGACUGGGGCGGUCUCCUCCUAAAGAGUAACGGAGGAGCACGAAGGUUGGCUAAGCAUGGUCGGACAUCAUGCGGUUAGUGCAAAGGCAUAAGCCAGCUUGACUGCGAGAGUGACGGCUCGAGCAGGUACGAAAGUAGGUCUUAGUGAUCCGGUGGUUCUGAAUGGAAGGGCCAUCGCUCAACGGAUAAAAGGUACUCCGGGGAUAACAGGCUGAUACCGCCCAAGAGUUCAUAUCGACGGCGGUGUUUGGCACCUCGAUGUCGGCUCAUCACAUCCUGGGGCUGAAGUAGGUCCCAAGGGUAUGGCUGUUCGCCAUUUAAAGUGGUACGCGAGCUGGGUUUAGAACGUCGUGAGACAGUUCGGUCCCUAUCUGCCGUGGGCGUUGGAAGAUUGAGAGGGGUUGCUCCUAGUACGAGAGGACCGGAGUGAACGCACCACUGGUGUUCGGGUUGUCAUGCCAAUGGCAUUGCCCGGUAGCUAAGUGCGGAAGAGAUAACCGCUGAAAGCAUCUAAGCGGGAAACUUGCCUCGAGAUGAGUCUUCCCUGUCGCUUUAAGCGACCUAAAGGAACGUUUAAGACUAAGACGUUGAUAGGCUGGGUGUGUAAGCGUAGCGAUACGUUGAGCUAACCAGUACUAAUGAACCGUGAGGCUUAACCUG
rnacentral:rRNA from 1 species